GCGAGUAUUUUAGGAGAGAAUUAUAUAAUCGUUUCAAUGAUACUCCGUACUUAAUUAUGCCAGUCCGAUCACCAACAUGAUUCACUUACGUCUCUCCACUUUAUUCAAAAAAAGUUACGUCUCUCCGCAUGUUGGCAGAUGCCUGCGUAUUGUCUAAUAAAUUUAGUUAUAUAAAUGUUCGACUCAUAACCAAACUAAAAUCACCCCUAUCUUUUGGUUGUGGGCGAAUUCUUAUAUGGUUAUGGAUUUUCACCUGAUCCCUUAUAUGCCACCAAUAUUUACUACAUCUCUUAGAAUAUUAGAAUAUUUGCUCUAACAAAGAGUCGAACUCACGACCUCAAAUGCUACUAAGGCUUUAUAGCCACUAGGCUAUAAGCCCUUUCG
rnacentral:lncRNA from 1 species